rnacentral:rRNA from 1 species
GUAGUCAUAUGCUUGUCUCAAAGAUUAAGCCAUGCAUGUCUAAGUAUAAGCAACUUGUACUGUGAAACUGCGAAUGGCUCAUUAAAUCAGUUAUCGUUUAUUUGAUAGUACCUUACUACAUGGAUACCUGUGGUAAUUCUAGAGCUAAUACAUGCUAAAAACCUCGACUUCAGGAAGGGGUGUAUUUAUUAGAUAAAAAACCAACGCCCUUCGGGGCUCCUUGGUGAAUCAUAAUAACUUAACGAAUCGCAUGGCCUUGCGCCGGCGAUGGUUCAUUCAAAUUUCUGCCCUAUCAACUUUCGAUGGUAGGAUAGUGGCCUACCAUGGUGGCAACGGGUAACGGGGAAUUAGGGUUCGAUUCCGGAGAGGGAGCCUGAGAAACGGCUACCACAUCCAAGGAAGGCAGCAGGCGCGCAAAUUACCCAAUCCCGAUACGGGGAGGUAGUGACAAUAAAUACUGAUACGGGGCUCUUUUGGGUCUCGUAAUUGGAAUGAGAACAAUUUAAAUCCCUUAACGAGG